CAAGUACUCCCUCCGUCCGAAAUUACUUGUCAUCAAAAUGGAUGUGUCUAGAACUAAAAUACAUCUAGAUACAUCCAUUUCUAUGACAAGUAUUUCCGGAUGGAGGGAGUACAAG
rnacentral:pre_miRNA from 1 species